rnacentral:tRNA from 1 species
UGGUACUUAGUUUAAAAU